rnacentral:rRNA from 1 species
AGAGUUUGAUCAUGGCUCAGAUUGAACGCUGGCGGCAGGCUUAACACAUGCAAGUCGAACGGUAACAGGAGAAAGCUUGCUUUCUUGCUGACGAGUGGCGGACGGGUGAGUAAUGCUUGGGAAUCUGGCUUAUGGAGGGGGAUAACGACGGGAAACUGUCGCUAAUACCGCGUAGUGUCGAGAGACGAAAGUGCGGGACCGCAAGGCCGCAUGCCAUAGGAUGAGCCCAAGUGGGAUUAGGUAGUUGGUGGGGUAAAGGCCUACCAAGCCGACGAUCUCUAGCUGGUCUGAGAGGAUGACCAGCCACACCGGGACUGAGACACGGCCCGGACUCCUACGGGAGGCAGCAGUGGGGAAUAUUGCGCAAUGGGGGCAACCCUGACGCAGCCAUGCCGCGUGAAUGAAGAAGGCCUUCGGGUUGUAAAGUUCUUUCGGUAGCGAGGAAGGCAUUUAGUUUAAUAGACUAGGUGAUUGACGUUAACUACAGAAGAAGCACCGGCUAACUCCGUGCCAGCAGCCGCGGUAAUACGGAGGGUGCGAGCGUUAAUCGGAAUAACUGGGCGUAAAGGGCACGCAGGCGGCUAUUUAAGUGAGGUGUGAAAUCCCCGGGCUUAACCUGGGAAUUGCAUUUCAGACUGGGUAGCUAGAGUACUUUAGGGAGGGGUAGAAUUCCACGUGUAGCGGUGAAAUGCGUAGAGAUGUGGAGGAAUACCGAAGGCGAAGGCAGCCCCUUGGGAAUGUACUGACGCUCAUGUGCGAAAGCGUGGGGAGCAAACAGGAUUAGAUACCCUGGUAGUCCACGCUGUAAACGAUGUCGAUUUGGGGGUUGAACUUUAAGCUUGGCGCCCGUAGCUAACGUGAUAAAUCGACCGCCUGGGGAGUACGGCCGCAAGGUUAAAACUCAAAUGAAUUGACGGGGGCCCGCACAAGCGGUGGAGCAUGUGGUUUAAUUCGAUGCAAC